GAUGAACGCUGGCGGCGUGCCUAAUACAUGCAAGUCGAACGAAACUUCUUUAUCACCGAGUGCUUGCACUCACCGAUAAAGAGUUGAGUGGCGAACGGGUGAGUAACACGUGGGCAACCUGCCCAAAAGAGGGGGAUAACACUUGGAAACAGGUGCUAAUACCGCAUAACCAUAGUUACCGCAUGGUAACUCUGUAAAAGGUGGCUAUACUACCGCUUUUGGAUGGGCCCGCGGCGCAUUAGCUAGUUGGUAGGGUAAAGGCUUACCAAGGCAAUGAUGCGUAGCCGAAUUGUGAGGUUGAUCGGCCACAUUGGGACUGAGGCACGGCCAAAAGUCCUCCGGGAGGCAGCAGUACGGAAUCAUACACAAUGGGCGAAAGCCUGAUGGAGCAACGCCACGUGGGUGAAGAAGGUCUUCGGAUCGUAAAACCCUGUUGUUAGAGAAGAAAGUGCGUGAGAGUAACUGUUCACGUUUCGACGGUAUCUAACCAGAAAGCCACGGCUAACUACGUG
rnacentral:rRNA from 1 species